ensembl:lncRNA
UUAUUAAGUGGUGCCAAAAGAGAACUGGGAAGAGAUAGGAUGAGGCCUGUUUACAAAAUGAACUAUUUUUCUUCUUGUGUGUUCUUCACUGGAUAUUCAUCCUUUUAUUAAUCCUUCACACAUAAGCACACUCACCCAGAUACAUACACAUAUACUUCAAGAUAUAAAAUAACAAUAUGAAAGACAUUGUUCACUACUGAUCCAAAUGCUUUCAAUUCAACUAUAUAUCAAAUUUAAUCCUUUGGUAGGAAUUUAGAAACAAAAAGGAAGAGAAUGCUGUAUUUUUUCAAUUUUAAUUUCUGAAAAAUUUCUCUCUUCCUUGUAAGUCACAGUGGGGCGGGAAGGGCUUUCUCUAGGAAAACCAGGUUUUGUGUGACUGACACAUACUGCAUUUUUAAUAGCAGAAUGAAAUGCAUUAUUCAGAACUCGGUGUUGUCCAGCUGAUUCAGUUCUGCCAUUGCUCUUCCACCUUCCUGUGCAUCCGUUGUCUGAAGUUCAAAUUCUUUUUGUGAUCAAUACUAGUGGCCACUAUACUAUUUGUUUGCCUAGGUAUUUGUGUGCUAACAAACUGGCAUGCUGUAUUGUGUAUUUUAUAGUAUAUUUUAAUGGAGCAGAAAAUUAUGACUCAGUAUGCACUUUUGAGCUGUCUCAAAGAAUAUCUGAACAUAUCCACUAGUCUGAAUUUUGACUUUUUCCUUUGAUUAGUGAUAAUAGAAUCACAUUUAUAGAAAUAAAGUACUCUAUAUUAUGGAAUAGUGUAAAUGUAAGGAUUUUACCUUUUAACAUCAUAUAGUGUCCUUUAUAUGGCUUCAAAAAUCCUCUGUGCUCAGGGAUGAUACACCUAGAGAUAAUAUUCUAUUGGUAUUCUAAAAUUGGUGUUCUCAGUGUUAAGAAUCAAACAUGUAUUAUGGCCUAAACUAUCAGAUAUACUGUUAAGAGCUCAAAGGCUAGAUCUAGUUACAUAGUCUUGAUCCUUCCCAGAACAAGUUUUAGCAUAGAGAUAAUUUGAAAAAUCAGGCACAAGCAGGAAGUCAAAAAAUUCUACUCCAGGGACCAGUGAUAUGGCUCAGUGAGCAAAGGCACUUGAUACCAAUUCUGGUAACUGGAGUGUGAUCCCUGGGAGUGCAUUGUGGAAAGAAAGAAUUGACACCCUAAAGUUUCCCUCUGACUUCUACAUGAGUGCCAGCAUUGAAAAGAAGCAGCUGACACUUGGAGUCCAACCUGGAGCCAAAUGGCCAAGAGAUGAAGAGUGCUAGUGUUCCUUCAGAAACCUCAGUCUCAAUGUGUCCUAGCUAAUGGUUCCUAACAGAAAAUGGGUGAUAUAUCGUUUGUUUCUAUACGUGAAAUAUCAAAAAAAAAAAAAACACAUAAACUGUCCUGUCAAAGUAAAUGGAGAUAGCGUCAAAAGCAAGGCAGAAACACUGUGUUGUGCUUUUCUGCUGUUGUUGUAGCAAUAUAUUGAUGUGUGCACCAUGACCAGGACCAUGUUUGCUGAGUACCAGAGUCAAUAGCUGCUCAGCAUCCUGGGUAAAUUCCCAUCAUUACAUCUCACCAACUUCUUCACAUAGGCAGCAUCCUCUCCUUUCUGUUCACUUCUGCUUGGCAAUCAAUUUAGGGAUUUUGAAAUGUAUGCAGAGGCAGAGAUGGUAUAUCGAUCCCUAAAAUUCAUGUAUCAUCAAUGGUAGCUAAUGAUUGCUACCUAUAACUCCUGCUGCAAUGGACACAAAGAAUACCUAUUGGCUGAUUUUCUAUUUUUUGAGUGAGUGGAUUGGGAGGUAUUUUCAGUUUUAAGGAAUCAAUCGAGUAUUUCAACCAACGAGGGCAGGAAAAUUAUGUAAGAUGCUUUCCAGUGGUUUGAGUAUCAAGAAAAUCUUAUGUUAAAAGAGGCAUUAAGUUUCACAUUAUCAACUAUUAUAAGGAAGAAUCUUCUCUAUGCUUGUUCUUUUACACUUAAUGCCCAAACUUAUCUCCUUUUCUCUCCCAACCCUGUCUCUUCAUCUUUCUCCAUAGUAUUAUUUUGCCUUAUAAUAUUUGUGUUCAAAAUACAAUACUUUUCUUCAAGCAAGCAAGAAUGGAAACAAAUCUGCCUGUGGCACCCAGCAUGUGCUUUCAAUUCCAGACAUGCCUUUUGCAUGUGGUUUUUCGUAUGUAAUGAUGACUCUGAGGUCAGACCCAUCAGGUUUCCUAUUUCUCAAAUCACUGAACUAACAAACUGCAGCCUCUCACUUAGCAUGUUGGUCAAAACAACACUGUGUUUCUGCUCUGCCUUUUCAAUAAGCGCGUGCUUUCCCUUUGCACUCCAUGGAAAUGAAAAACACGUUUCUCUACCAAACCACUACCCUAUAUCAAGCAGACACACACAUCAUGGUCCAGUGUGGUUACUAUCUUUAUAUUAUAAGACAACCCUACAACUGAUGAUUGGAUAAACCAAAAUAGAGAAUAAACUUGCACAAUAAGAGAGGUUUGAUAAGUCUGUAGAUUUUGACAUAGUUUGGGAUUUGGGGUUUACAUAUGUAAUGAUUUCAUAUUCCAAAUUCUUUGACUAAGCACUUUUAUACUUUUAAAAUGCUAAUGUAUUAGUUCAAAUUCUAUUCUCAGAUUGGAAAUCUUCAAUUAUGCAUAGCAUUUUAAUUUCCUAAAUGUUUAAUGUAUACACAUUAACAAACAAAACUCCAGCAAUAACAAAGUGACCCCCACAAACUCUACAAAUACUUGUCCCACUGAAUUGGAAAUUGAGAUUACUGUCUGGGCAUUGGAGUCUCAUGAAACCAUCAGUCAGAUAAGCACACUGAGUAGGACCAGCCUGAAGUUUAAUUGAUACAAUGUGAAGGCAAAGUAAAAUAAUAAGCCCAGAAUCCAGGAGCUUAUUCAGGAAAGCUUUUAGAUUUUUCAGGAUGUGACAAAAAUAUUUAGUAAUUGGUGACUAAUGUCGGACAUUUUGGAAUUUCCUAACAAUGAAAAAUGUCAACCAACCUGAGCCUCAUUAAAGGCCAAGGGGAUAUGGACGUGAUUGUGGAUGAGGGAGUUUUAACUUUUUAUGCAGUGAGUGUUUAGCCUACAUAGACACGAAUGCACUCUGUGUGUGUGUGUGUGUGUGUGUGUGUGUGUGUGUGUGUGAAGCCUUUAGAGGUCAGAAGAAGGCUUCAGAGCUUCUGGUGCCAGAGUUAUUGAUGGUUGUGAGCCACCAUGUGAGUGCUGAGAAUUGAACUUGGGUCCUCCAUAACAGCAACAGAUGCUCUCAACAGCUAAGCCAACUGUUCCACUCAGAUCAGGGAUUUUUAAAGACCAAGUGGUCUCAAAAAUAGCUCUAAAAAUUACCAGCAGUAUGAAUAUUUUCUUGUUGUUUAAGCACCCAUGCCUACUUUAUUUCAGCCUCCCUUUCCUUUUUUGGUGAUAAAAUUUAAAGUUUAAGUUUCUAUUGUAUCAUAUGAAUAAUGAGUUAUGAAAUGACUACAACAAGAAUAUUAACAUCACAAAAACUAGAUAUGAAACUCAAAUAUUAACUAUUGAAAUUUUAUUUUCAGUGUUUGGUGCAAGACAAACAUCCUCAUAUAUAUGAAAAUCAAUUUCAGCCCAUCAGAUGUGUUGAAAGAAUUGGUUUUACUAUGUAGAAAUAAUUGUUACAAUUUCAUUAUCAUUAAAUUCAAUAUGGAAGAGCACUGGGGCAACUUGCCUCCAAGGUUUAUAUGCAGGUCUCAAAGGAGACAUAUUCACUUCAGUUUUCUGUCAUGAUAAUAAUGAUGUCUCCUUAUAUGAAUUAAUCCCAGAAAAUUCACCAUCAGUGCAUGACUUCCCACUACUCAAUACCUAGGUAUUUAUGUUGCUGAAUUUCUAGUUUGAAAUUCCAUAGCUGGUUUCUGUUGUCUUGGAUAAUCCCUAUGUAUAUACUCAUAUUGUCAAAUUUUCUGCCUUCAACUAUAUAAGCAUAAUGAUUAAAUCAUAAAUUAUAUUUGCUGACAAUGCCUCUAGAAAAAUGUGUUAAAUGAAUAUCUGCCUUCUUGUACUUUGUUCUGUUGAAGUUACCCAAUAUUCUGGAAUCAACUCUAAAAUUACUUCUUAAAUUAUAAAUGAUUACUUCUUUAUAUGACGUUUGUAUUUUAGGCAAGAUUUAUGUUACUAUGGGCUAGGGAUACAUCUCAGAUACAAACACUUGCCUAACAUGCUCAUCUUCACCUCUCAGCACUCAAAAAUAGUAAUGAUAAUAAUUUUUUUGUAUUUAUUCAGCGAUCUUCCUUAUUACAAAUCCUGACUUCAAACUGGGUUUGUUAUUGUCUCCCCUCCCAAAAUAUGGAUUUCUAAAAGACUAUGGAGCUGGAUGCCUAUACGAUGCCAAAGUGAUGCUUGAGCCUUGUUUUAUGCCUCAUAACAACAAUGUCAGUUGGAGUUUGGCUCUAUACUUAAAAGGAUCAAGCAACAGAGAGCUAAAAUGUAUGGUAGGUGAACUCUUCUUGAAUUCAGUAUAGAACAUCCUAUGUACUUCCUGAAAGCUUAAGCCAUGGAACAUCAUGUGAUCUCUGACUGGCCAGUGACCAUGAAAUCCAGAAGAAUUUCAGCAUGAAUCUGCAGAUGUGUUCAGAGAAGAAUCUCUUGAUGCAGCUGAAUCUUUUGGGGGUGUUCCUUUCUUCCAGUAACCCUACUGGCUGGCCCUUCAUUUACUGUAUCAACUACCAUCAUUAGUUCAUCUAUUAUAUACUUGGUGCUCUUGUAGUCAUUGGGAAUAGAGAAGACAAAAGAAAAGAAAAACCUCAUUUUCAUGAGAUUUAAUUCUGCUGGAAAUAAAUAAUUAAAACUAUUCCAGAUGUUAAUAUAUUCCUAAAAGAAAACAAAGCAGAGAUAGACAGAUGUGUGGGAGUCCUUGAGGAGUGACCAACAACAAAAGAUUGAAGUGAGCCACAGGAAACAAUCAGCAGGGUGCUUCUACUGACCUCUAAAUCUUUCUAUAUUCUAUAUUGGGAUACUUCCUUAACAGCAAUAAUGCCCCAAGAGAAAAUGUAUUAUCAAUUCUAUGCCUAUUAUCCUUAAAAUAAAAGCCUUUUGAUUGCUACAUGUGGAAACAAUGGUUUUCAAAGACAUUUAGAUACAUAAAACCAUGUUAUCAAGUGAGAUGGACCAGUUUAUAUAUUAUAUUUUUGCAAGCUGAACUUCCUAGUAAUUAGGCUGCAUUUCACCCUAAUGUGUGACUUUAUUGUGUGAAUUUGGUUUCAACAAUGUAUGUUUUCUCCAUGUAUAAAAUGAAAGUUAUGUAGGGUCUACAUUAAACAUGAUUAUCUUUGUCUCCAUAUUGCUCCAAUGAAUUAUACUUUGUUGUGAAAUCUGUAUUAUCAAUUGGAUUUGCUUAUGGGCUUACUCUAUUCACAUAUAUUUUUUUUCAGCAUGCAAAAAUUGUUGUCAAUAGCAUUUACCUUACACCCUACUUCUCAGUAGAUGCAGUAAAAUAAAAUAAUCUCAUUGUCACCACAAAAUUGUAGGAGUGAAGUCUCAUAUUUCAACUACUUUGGCUUGGAUCUUGUUCCUGUCUCUGAACACUUGCUACAGCAAUAUGUAAUCUCUCCAAUAGCUUAGAAAUAUCUGCAUCACAGUCCACUGGAUCUAAAACAUGGACAAAAAACAAGUGACUUUUUGUCUAAAGGAAGUCAACUACUUUUACAAGGAGUAAUGGAUGCAAGUGUUGUUAUAGAAAACGCUAUUUCAAAAUGUAAUUGUCAUUCUCAUUCUCUCUCCCUACCCCCCCACACACUUCCCAUAUACACACAGAGACACAUACUUUUAAUAGUAGCAUCAAUCCUGGGGUAAGAUUCAAUUACCUUAGCCUCUUGGAUCUUUUGUCUUUAUAGUAUAAA